CAAAACAAAAAACAGAAGAACGGAACGGGAGAGACACAUUUUUUUACUAGUAUUACGAACUGUAUGUUAAGUUAUGGCAAAUGAAGGAUGGAAGCGAAGUUAGAAAGGAUCAAAGGAUAAAAGGAUGAAAGGAAAACCUACAACAUAUAAAAGGAAAAAAUUAUGAGAAAAGGAGAAAGGAAUGCGGAGCAGCGGAAUGGCGGCUUAACUGUGACCUGAUUUUGGUUCUGAACAAAAAAAAAAAAAGAAAACUAUAAACUAUAAACUAUAAAAGAAAAGCGAACUGAAAAACCGUGUGAAGAAGGAGGCGGCUGCUUUUCUGCUGGCUUGCAAUAAUUUCAUUUUCCCAACAAUUGAACAGGCAAAAUGGAAAUCCCACGCCGCUGCAGUGCACACUCAAAAAAAGGAGGAAAAGUAGAGAAAAUAGGGGGAAAAAUGGAUAAGGAGAGGAGGGGCAGCCAGCGAGACAACAAUUCCAUGGGCUAAGCAAUUAAAGCGCCUCGUUCGCGUUCCUUGGCUCCGUUUUUGCACGCUCCAAUUGCGUUUCCAGUUGCAAAUGCAAAAGGCUUUGCAAAAAGAUACAAGGAAAGCAGGGGAAAAGUUGGGGAAAUGCUGGGGAAAUGCUGUGAAAGUGCCAGUGCCAGUGCCAGUGCCACUCUCUUCCCCCCGUCCCUUUCAUCACUCUCCCCUUCUCCCUUCUGUUUUCUGUUUUCUGGAGCGUGUAAUAUCCGUUUCCUGCAUUUCCGGUUGCAAGGCGACAAAAACAACAAGUGCAACAACAACGAAGUUGCAGCAGGGAGUUGCCUGAAAAUUGCUAGCGGAAAUGCUGCAAAAUUAACGAGCAACGCGGUUAGCUAGGGUGGAUUUUGGCGAGGAGCUGGAGUAGCUAGGGGAGCUACAGGAGCCGGAUCAGGAACAGUAGGAGAAGGAUUCAGGAGGUGGUGUAGAAGCCAGGUACAGGAGGCUUCCCCUUUUUUCUCUUUUGCAGAUGAAGGUAGGAUGAGGACCAACAGGAGCAACAGGAGGAGCAGCGACAGCCAAAGUAAAUGCAAACAAUUUUUUACCCACUGCCGGAGGUGUGCCAGCAUUGUGGGUGUGCGGGCUUAGCUACGCCUCACAAAAUGCAAAUUUUCACUUGUACCCGGUAAAGGUAAGGUAAAUGUGGUGGAUGUGGAGGAGUGAUGGGCCGCCGUCCAGCUUGGCAGCAGCUGCAAAUUAGACGCAUCGCUUAACCAGCAAUGACAUAAAGCAGCCAAGUGGCAGCAACAGCGCUAACAACGUCCUGGAGUCAUCGCCAUCGUAGCCAUCGUAGCCAUCACCAUCACCAUCAUCCUCCUCCUCGUCGUCAUCAUCAUCGUCAUCAUCCUCUGUGCAUCUCUGGGCUUAAAUCAACACAAAAAGAUGGAGAAAAAGCAAACUGAAUUUGGCCAGAGAUGCGGAUGGAGAUGGAUAUAGAGAUAGAGCCAUGGCUGCAGGUGGAUUUACACUGAAAUAAAUAGGAAAAAAAGGAAGAGAGAAAGAAGAGGAAUUUGAUUAAGGAUAUAACAUUUAUU